CUGAGUGUAAAAACUCCCAAACCCAUUGUGAACAUACCACUGUUGCUUCGGCGGAUGCGCCCCGGGCGCGCCCCUCACAGGGCGUGCCCCGGAACCAGGCGCCCGCCGGGGGACCGAAACUCUUGUUUUUAUAGGAUCUCUGAGUGUGAUUAUACAAUCAAUCA
rnacentral:misc_RNA from 1 species